GGGCCCAUAGCUCAGUCAGGUAGAGCGGCCGGCUCUUAACCGGCAGGCCGGGGGUUCAAAUCCCCCUGGGCCCG
rnacentral:tRNA from 1 species